GGCCCGGUGGCGUAAUUGGUAAUCGCGGCGCUCUUAAACAGCGCUUGAUGCCGGUUCGAAUCCGGCCCGGGUCA
rnacentral:tRNA from 1 species